GAUGUUCUGGAAUAGAUAUUUUCUCCUCUCCAUUGCAGAUAUUUAUUAACCAGACCUUUGCUGAGCAGUCUGACAGUGGCACUGUGGUAUCCAUAUCCUUACCGGUUGCCCUGGAGACCUUCUUCCCCCAGAGCAAAAGAAGUCGUGUUCAGUUUCAUUUCUAUGGCAUAGAAAAUCUAUUCCAGGACCAUAAUAGUAGCCUGGUGCUGAAUUCCUACGUGGUUUCUGCCAGUGUGACCAAUGCUAGUGUGAUUGACCUGAGGGACCCAGUUGUAAUCACUCUCCUUCAUCUUCAGCACAAAGAGGUCUGUAACAACAUUUAAUCUCUCAUUGAAAGUGUAAUGUACCAUUGAUCUUUUCCUGCAGUUGUCAUAUGUGAUAUUUCCCCAGUGUUGUCCUUAAAUUCGUUUUAGUCACAAAUCUACACUUCCUUUCUUAUAGGACCAUGACACGGUCCAGUGUGUCUACUGGAACUUAGAGAGGAAUGACGGAAAAGGUGGUUGGGAUGGUAAUGGAUGCCAGGUUAAAUAUAGCAACGCCACUCAUACAUCUUGCCUCUGUUUUCACCUCACACAUUUUGGAGUGCUGCUGGAUAUAUCCAAAACACCAAUAAACCCCAAAGAUGACAUGAUUCUCACAAUUAUUACAUACCUGGGCUGUGGCUUGUCCUCCCUCUUUCUAGGCGUCACCUUGCUGACUUAUAUGGCCUUUGAAAAGCUGCGGCGGGAUUACCCAUCUAAGAUUCUUAUCAACCUCGCAGGGGCCUUGCUGGGUCUCAACAUGCUCUUUCUGAUUAAUUCUUGGCUUGCUUCAUUUAACAACUAUGGCCUCUGUAUCGCUACGGCUGCCAUUCUUCACUACUUCUUCCUGGCCACAUUUACUUGGAUGGGAUUAGAGGCGAUCAACAUGUACCUGGCUUUUGUGAAAGUCUUUAAUGUCUAUGUUUCCUCCUACAUCCUUAAAUUUUGUAUUCUUGGAUGGGGUGAGACUUUUUAAGGAUAUACUUGUAUAGUUUCCUUAUCAAAUGAAUUGAAUGAAAGCAAAGUCGAAUUUAGUGGAGGAUAGAAUCACAUUAUAUGUAUUUGAGACAUGUCACAAAAUAUGCAGCGGGUGUUGAAAACAUAGCCAAGUACACAGCCUGUGUUUUGUGUUGCUAGUGCUCUAAAAUCUCUGAUUCAAAUAAUUAUUAAGCCUCAAUACUGAAUAUAAUACUGAAGAACAGGGCUGACUUUUCCACAUGUCAUUGGACCCACUAGGUUUUGUGUGAUGGCAGAGCUGUUGGGAAGACACAAAGCAGCUUAACUCUGGCACUAGACGUUUACAUGGACAACAAUAUUCCGAUAUUAACCCGAUUAAGACGAUACUCUGACUAAGUAUCUAAGAUGUAAACAGUGAUUAUUGAUGACCUUAAUCCGACUGAAAUCAUACUCGAAGUAAACACAAAUCGAAUUAAGACAUGUGGAGUAUUCCUGUUUUACUCGCAUUAUCGAAGUGCAUUACAGACAUGUACACACCUUAAUCACACUAUUAACGUCGUGUGGGAAUUUUCACCGCAUUUUGCCACAAGACACACACACACACACACACACAUACACACGGCAGUGCUCAAUAGUUUGACGGCAAGCAAGAGAGCACGGCUGAGUCAGAAACCGUGUACUUACCUUCUGUAUAGAAGGUGAAAUACAUGUAUCUCAGCUACUAUAUAGCAGGUAAGUACACGGUUUCGGAUGCAGCCCACGG